CAGAGAAAGAGGAGAUGUUUUUAAAGGCCCUGAACACCCAUCCAGGUGUUUUCAGUUAAUGUGGCAGAUUGGGCCUCUUCCCAGGACGGUGUGGGUGUCUAUAGACUGAUUGAGUGACUCUUACUGA